UUCCGGUUGAUCCCGCCGGACCCGACUGCUAUCGGAAUGGGAUUAAGCCAUGCUAGUCGUGCGUCCUCUAGCUGUUGAGGACGCGGCGUACGGCUCAGUAGCACGUAGUCAACCUGCCUCGAAGACGCGGACAAUCCCGGGAAACUGGGGCUAAUCCGCGAUAGGCUUAGAGUUCUGGAAUGGCUUUAAGCUUAAAGGAUUAGGAAAGCAUGCUUUCCUAAUUGCUUCAAGAUGGGACUGCGGCCGAUCAGGUUGUUGGCGGGGUAAUGGCCCACCAAGCCUAUAACCGGUGCGGGCUCUGAGAGGAGGAGCCCGGAGAUGGACACUGAGACAAGGGUCCAGGCCCUACGGGGCGCAGCAGGCGCGAAACCUUCACAAUGCGCGAAAGCGCGAUGAGGCUAUACCGAGUGCCAUCCGCUGAGGGUGGCUUUUCCUUGGUCUAAAAAGCCAAGGGAAUAAGGGGAGGGCAAGCCUGGUGUCAGCCGCCGCGGUAAAACCAGC
rnacentral:rRNA from 1 species